UACAGAGACUGCAAGCGUUAUUCGGAUUUACUGGGCGUAAAGGGCGCGUAGGCGGCCACCGCAAGUCGACUGUGAAAUCUCCGGGCUUAACCCGGAAAGGUCAGCCGAUACUGCGGGGCUAGAGUGCAGAAGGGGCAACUGGAAUUCUCGGUGUAGCGGUGAAAUGCGUAGAUAUCUGGAGGAAUACCGGUGGCGAAGGCGGCAUCCUGGACCGGCAUUGACGCUGAGGAGCGAAAGCUAGGGGAGCAAACGGG
rnacentral:rRNA from 1 species